ACUCCUACGGGAGGCAGCAGUGGGGAAUAAUUGGACAAUGGGCGCAAGCCUGAUCCAGCCAUGCCGCGUGGGUGAAGAAGGCCUUCGGGUUGUAAAGCCCUUUUGUUGGGAAAGAAAAGCAGUCGGUUAAUACCCGAUUGUUCUGACGGUACCCAAAGAAUAAGCACCGGCUAACUUCGUGCCAGCAGCCGCGGUAAUACGAAGGGUGCAAGCGUUACUCGGAAUUACUGGGCGUAAAGCGUGCGUAGGUGGUGGUUUAAAGUCUGUUGUGAAAGCCCUGGGCUCAACCUGGGAAUUGCAGUGGAUACUGGGUCACUAGAGUGUGGU
rnacentral:rRNA from 1 species